rnacentral:rRNA from 1 species
GAUGAACGCUGGCGGCGUGCCUAAUACAUGCAAGUCGAGCGAACAGACGAGGAGCUUGCUCCUCUGACGUUAGCGGCGGACGGGUGAGUAACACGUGGAUAACCUACCUAUAAGACUGGGAUAACUUCGGGAAACCGGAGCUAAUACCGGAUAAUAUAUUGCACCGCAUGGUUCAAUAGUGAAAGACGGUUUUGCUGUCACUUAUAGAUGGAUCCGCGCCGCAUUAGCUAGUUGGUAAGGUAACGGCUUACCAAGGCGACGAUGCGUAGCCGACCUGAGAGGGUGAUCGGCCACACUGGAACGGAGACACGGUCCAGACUCCUACGGGAGGCAGCAGUAGGGAAUCUUCCGCAAUGGGCGAAAGCCUGACGGAGCAACGCCGCGUGAGUGAUGAAGGUCUUCGGAUCGUAAAACUCUGUUAUUAGGGAAGAACAAAUGUGUAAGUAACUAUGCACGUCUUGACGGUACCUAAUCAGAAAGCCACGGCUAACUACGUG